CCUUGUGGUUGGUGUACAGGUGGUGCAUGGCUGUCGUCAGCUCGUGUCGUGAGAUGUUGGGUUAAGUCCCGCAACGAGCGCAACCCUUGUCCUGUAUUGCCAGCGGGUUAUGCCGGGGACUUGCGGGAGACUGCCGGGGUCAACUCGGAGGAAGGUGGGGAUGACGUCAAGUCAUCAUGCCCCUUAUGUCCAGGGCUUCACACAUGC
rnacentral:rRNA from 1 species